AACGAACGCUGGCGGCAUGCCUAACACAUGCAAGUCGAACGAAACCUUCGGGUCUAGUGGCGCACGGGUGCGUAACGCGUGGGAACCUGCCCUUAGGUUCGGAAUAACUCCCCGAAAGGGGUGCUAAUACCGGAUAAUGUCUUCGGACCAAAGAUUUAUCGCCUUUGGAUGGGCCCGCGUUGGAUUAGCUGGUUGGUAGGGUAAAAGCCUACCAAGGCGACGAUCCAUAGCUGGUCAGAGAGGAUGAUCAGCCACACUGGGACUGAGACACGGCCCAGACUCCUACGGGAGGCAGCAGUGGGGAAUAUUGGACAAUGGGCGAAAGCCUGAUCCAGCAAUGCCGCGUGAGUGAUGAAGGCCUUAGGGUUGUAAAGCUCUUUUACCCGGGAUGAUAAUGACAGUACCGGGAGAAUAAGCUCCGGCUAACUCCGUG
rnacentral:rRNA from 1 species